rnacentral:rRNA from 1 species
GUGGAGCAUGUGGCUUAAUUUGACUCAACGCGGGGAAUCUUACUAGGUCCGGACCGAGUCUAUGAACGUCGUACCGUUGGGUGCUACGUGAUUACUGGAUGAGUGGUGCAUGGCCGUUCUUAGUUCGUGGUGUUAAUUGUCUACUUAAUUGUUUCGGCCAUGUAUCUCUCAGUACAGUCCUUACAACGAACGAGAUCGAGACCCGUGGUUGCGUUGUGUUUGAAUUCGGUAUUACUACGGGGAUCGCGUAAUCACUCAACGGUACGAUCGAAAGACUCGGCAAUAACAGGUCUGUGAUGCCCUCAGAUGUUCUAGGCUGCACACGUGCUACAUUGUGAGUUGUAGUAUAUUGUGUAUGCGUAGAUAUGUCUAAGAUCCCCCGCACCGAGUCAAUUACUCACGUGGUGGACUCACCGAUUGUAAUAAUUAUUCUGUAUA